GAGUUUGAUCCUGGCUCAGAUUGAACGCUGGCGGCAUGCCUUACACAUGCAAGUCGAACGGCAGCACGGGAGCUUGCUCCUGGUGGCGAGUGGCGAACGGGUGAGUAAUGCAUCGGAACGUAUCCUGGAGUGGGGGAUAACGUAGCGAAAGUUACGCUAAUACCGCAUAUUCUGUGAGCAGGAAAGCGGGGGACCUUCGGGCCUCGCGCCCUUGGAGCGGCCGAUGUCGGAUUAGCUAGUUGGUGAGGUAAAGGCUCACCAAGGCGACGAUCCGUAGCAGGUCUCGAGAGGAUGAUCUGCCACACUGGAACUGAGACACGGUCCAGACUCCUACGGGAGGCAGCAGUGGGGAAUUUUGGACGAAUGGGGGCAACCCUGAUCCAGCCAUGCCGCGUGAGUGAAG
rnacentral:rRNA from 1 species